rnacentral:rRNA from 1 species
UGGGGGAAUAUUGGGCAAUGGACGCAAGUCUGACCCAGCAACGCCGCGUGAAGGAAGAAGGCUUUCGGAUUGUAAAGAUCUUUUAUCAGGGACGAAGAAAGUGACGGUACCUGAUGAAUAAGCUCCGGCUAACUACGUGCCAGCAGCCGCGGUAAUACGUAGGGAGCGAGCGUUAUCCGGAUUUACUGGGUGUAAAGGGCGAGUAGGCGGGCUGGUAAGUUGGAAGUGAAAUGUCGGGGCUUAACCCCGGAACUGCUUUCAAAACUGCUGGUCUUGAGUGAUGGAGAGGCAGGCGGAAUUCCUAGUGUAGCGGUGAAAUGCGUAGAUAUUAGGAGGAACACCAGUGGCGAAGGCGGCCUGCUGGACAUUAACUGACGCUGAGGAGCGAAAGCGUGGGGAGCAAACAGGAUUAGAUACCCUGGUAGU